UAGGGGGCAAGCGUUAUCCGGAUUUAUUGGGUUUAAAGCGAGCGUAGGCCGGAGAUUAAGCGUGUUGUGAAAUGUAGACGCUCAACGUCUGCACUGCAGCGCGAACUGGUUUCCUUGAGUACGUAGGAAGUUGGCGGAAUUCGUGGUGUAGCGGUGAAAUGCUUAGAUAUCACGAAGAACUCCGAUUGCGAAGGCAGCUGACUGUAUCGUAACUGACGCUGAAGCUCGAAAGUGUGGGUAUC
rnacentral:rRNA from 1 species